rnacentral:lncRNA from 1 species
CUCUGGGCCACCUGGGUAGCAUAGUCAGCUCCUGGUCUCAUACAAUAACUCUCUUCUAAUGUGCCUACUUUUCUGAGGCUUCUGACAUCUACCUUAAUACUCUGACAAAUCAGUCUUGGUAUCUCCACCUCCUUUUUUUUGUUUUUUAAAGAUAUUAUUUUUCCUUUUUCUCCCGAAAGCCCCCAGUACAUAGUUGCAUAUUUUUUUUAGCUGUGGGUCCUUCUAGUUGUGGCAUGUGGGACGCUGCCUCAGUGUGGCUUGAUGAGCGGUGCCAUGUCCGUGCCCAGGAUCCAAACGGGCGAAACCCAGGGCCGCUGAAGCUGAGCACAUGAACUUAACCACUUGGCCAUGGGGCCAGCCUCUCCACCUCAUUUUUAGUAGUCAGUCCUUCAUCAUGUCCAAAUUUCAAAGAGCCAUUCUGUGGAAUUGUGUUUCUCAAACCUUAGCAUACGUCAGAAUCACCUAGAAGCCUUCUUCAGUCGCUGACUUCUGGACUCCAGCCCCCAAAUUUGCUUCACAGGCUUGGGACGGGGCACAGUAGUUUGUGUUCCUAAGAAGUUCCCAAGUGGUGCUAAUGCUGCCGGUCCGGGGACCACAUUUGAGAAGCAUGGGUGUAAUCACUGCUCCUUCUCUCCCCGUAUCUCACUCCACCCCAAUCCGAGUGAGAGUCGAAGGAAACCUGAAGCUGAAGCCUGCAGUGUUCCCACCGCCCGCUCACCAAGCUCAUCAUCUGACUGGUGAGUGAUCUCGCUCCAAAUCCCAACUUAAAGGCUGCUUUCUAGGCUCUGCAGCACAGCUGCUCUGGUCUGAGUCCCUCUGACAGGCAUGCUGGAGACAAGGACCUGGAAGUAUACAGUUCAUUGGGAAGGCAUCUCAGAAAACAGAAGGAAGGUCAUGGGAAAGAACGACGAAAAAGAGUUCCUGGACGAUGAAGACUGUGUUACCAAGUUGGUUACUACCGCGAACAACGGAGAGACUCUCUCCCUGUGGUUACUAUCUGAGGAAUCACGUAGAAUUUGCCCCAGAAUUAACCCCCCAGAGAAUGGGGAGCUGGAGCACCUAAAUCCCCUCUCAUCCCUCAUUAUUUGAAACUUCUUCCUGAGACGUUAAUUCCUUCAUACAUUUUGUGAUCCUGCAAGCCCACAGAUAGUUACAGUUCUCAUAAAUCGCCUAUUCAAGAACCUCUCAGUGACUUAAAACAAUCACAGAGGAGAUAGUAAAUACAGUGCGUGGAGAGUGAUCAUUAAUAAGGUCGGAAUCUGUUUUCCUUGUGCCCUUAAGACUCCAGCAGAUACUGGAUUCAGAAAUCUGCGUAUGGACCAGCCAGGAGGCGUGUUGUAAGGAAUAGAAACUGGCAGCCACAAACAAACAAAUAAUACAUUGUACAGAUAUCAAGUAGCUCCCAGAAUUGGUGGAGAGACUUCGCAAACGGACAGGCACAAGGAGAGGCUGGAAGGGAGUACGGCCAUGGCCAGGCCCAGAAACAGCCGUCACUCGCAGCAGAGGUGACAUUUCUGCCCCGGGCACGGCCAGGCUGCCCCACCACUGCCCUGAAUGGCGUCGGAACUGUUUCCACAUAUUCGUAUCACAAAUUUCAGACCCAGAGCCUCCAGGGAGGAUGUGAUCAGGGCCAGUCUGUUGCAGGUAGAUGAGGCUGCGUCUGUCUCCCUUGGUUUGCUUAUUUGGACAAGGAGCAUUUCUUCUCACACCAGAGAGCAUCCUCUCCAAAACAGAACCCGUCCUCAGCUGCGGGUACAGACAAAAAGACGGCCGCCCGCAAGCACGUCUACGCUGAGUCACAGCUCAAACGGCGUCAAUCUUUGCCAGCGGAGGAACCCUUGUUCCUGUUGGCGUUUCUUAUUUUAUUAUUUCGGAAUAUAGGGAGGCUCUUCCCUUGGUCUGUGCCGUUGAUGAAUAACUUUCAUUUCUACAAAUGCCAACUAAAAAUAUGAAAAUGUUCUAAACAGUUUUUAAUUAAAAAUGAAAUUAGUUUUACUGAAACUUAAAAUAGAAGUACAUUUCUCGUGUUUAUGGUAUGGAAAGACGUCAAGAAGAAUAUUCGUAGUACUUGAAGCCAUUAAAUAUUAUGUCUGUGUAAUUGAGAAACAGCAGGAGAUGCUGUCAUAUAUAUAGCACUUCUAACGUGUUCAUACCGUACACGCAGUAUUUUGAAUUUUCAAAGUGAGUUUAUAUAGAUUAUAUAUUUUCAUCUUUGAAACAAACUAUGGAGGAAACUGAGGAACGAGGACAGGACUCAGUUAACACCGGGCUAAGACAAGAACGGUUUCGUUACGUCCUUCAGCACUCCCUGCUGGUACUGCGGCAGAGGAAUUGCGUCCAUGCAAGUCCAUCUACUUUUCCCAAGCUACACCUCAUCUCCCUCGUGCAGCGUGUUCUUUCUCUGCGCGUUUCAGAGGAGUUCGAGGUGCGUGAUCAGAAGGAGCACUAACGUGGCCCGAUUCCAGCUGUUUCUGGAAUUGAGAGGCCUCAUUCUGCUGUGAACUUCUGCCCUGGCUUCAGAAGAAAUGGGUUUUUUUGUCAUUCCCGUGAAGUGACAGCCUUCAUCAAUCCUCGGCCUCCACCCCUGUGGCUGUUCCUAUUCAGCUGGAAGUGUGUGGGCUUAUGAAAGAACCAUGGGGUUGCCAUGGGCGUUCCUUUUUUUACAUUUUUUAUUUUUCCAAAUCCCUCUAAUUUGGAUGACCAAAAGACAGCAUUAGAAAUAAAAUUUCCAUCCAUGUCGUGAAGUUAGCUGGGUUUGAGAGGCCCUUGAGGGCCAACCCUAGUCUAGAGGGGACCAAAGUUGCCCUCCUUUCUGUGCCAAGGAAAUUCAAAAUCAGGUCUCUGCCAGACGCCGUGGAUUGGCUGAACCCAGUAUUCCCAAUCCGGCUCGACACUUGUUUCUCAAACUCUCUUGCAGACAGAAAUAGCGACCAACAAGACGCCAGGUGGAAUAUGGCCAGAGAGCAGGGUAAAAAUGGUUAUUUUUCAAAGGGUAAAGAAUGUAUGGCAUACACAAGGAAGAGAAAAUUUAGAUCUUCCUUUGAAGUUUGAAACGAACUCUCUCUCCAGUUAAUUCUCAUUAGUUGAAAUUGGCACCGUAAUCCUUGAUCUAGGCAAACAAACAAUCUGUAGGAUGGGGAGUGACUGGUACAGCUGGAAUGGAGACCGGGUCUGCAAGCCAACACCACAGCGAAUCAUAUAAACACCUUGUGCCGAUACUGUUAUUGCUGUUCAGUUCAGUCAGGGACCGAGGCUGCUCUGAGGAUCAAAGGCGCGAAUGAAUCUGCAAGUUCUUGGAGGACCAUAAACCUCUAGAUAAAAGGCACAAUGCUGGUACUGUCUUUUCUUCUAAUGACCCCUAACCUUUCACACUCCAGCACUUGACUGCUUUCACACCAGGGCUUCUCUGAGCAAACACUGAUGAUUGCUAAUUUCCACUUGCUCUGAGAGCACAGAGCGGAUCAGUGGCUCCAUCUACACCCCGUGUCUAGACCACGUGUUGGCAAAAUGGUCACUGGGGCAGGGUCUGCUGUGGGGAGCUCCAUGCAUCUGCAAUCCUGUAUUUCACUCCCUGCUGAGUCAUUAUCUGGAAAAGUAAAAGUCUGCUGCAUAAGGACUUAAACUGUAAACUUUCAGAAGGAGCAUUCAGGACAAUAAGGAGUGCCGGUGGUUGACUGAUGAGCAGUCAGCCAGCAGCUCUGUGACACUCGUACCUAAGCCACCAGCCCCCGUGCUGCUGUCCCCACCCCAGCCCUGCAGGUCAGGCGGUUUUGCUGGGGCCAGCUUUGACCCCAGUCAUUGAAGAUCCCUCUUCAAGGACCAGGCCUCACUGUUUGCACUUCCCCUAAGGAGGAAGCAGUGUGUGGACCCCGAGACCUACACUCACCAUUAAAAUAAUGUUUCUCUUUUUCCCGCCCUUGCUGCCAAUUAUUUCUUGGUGGCUGGUUCAGCACAUAUGUCAGCCCCACAAGGCGUACAAACGAGUUCUCCAUGGAGAUGAAAUUCUUCAUUGUUGCCAUUCCAAAAGUGUAUGUAUGCUCUGAGAAGAAUGUGCUGUGUGCUGGAAAUACCUCCCCCACCGAUACUAGUUUAUAUUUUUGCUACUGGAAUUUGCCCACUUUCCCUUUUUUUUGUCAGUGCAGAUACACAUAAAGUGACCUCCCGCAGUGUAAAUGUCUACAUCUGACACACUUGCCUGCAGAUACAGCUGAACUAACCUUUAUUUUUUUCUGCUUAAAUGACACAUCAACAGCUGGCCUCCUAAAGGGAUGGGCGAACCCGGUCAUAUUUUAAGCCAGAUAACUUUUCAAAAAACUUGUCAAGUAUUUUGCCAAAUGCUCAAACUUCUAUUUCUUUAAACCCUUGUGUAUUUGAAGAAAAAAUUUAAUCCACAUGUUUCUGAAUAACUUGCCUUUAACUCAUCAAAAUAUUUUACCAGAAUUAUACUGUCAUCCAAAACAGCAUAUAUAUCUUGUUCUUUCAAUUCAUUUGUUUGUAAAAUAAAUUUGUAUAUUAUCUUGCAAAAUUUGGUGUGAGGCUCAAAUGGCAGUUAGUUCAAGGGAGUUCCAGAGUGAAAACAAUACAUUGGUCUGAAUGAAACAGGCUUUUUAUUCUGAGGUGAAGGAAGUGAUACUGUGACACAUGUAGACAGGAUUUAAAGCUGAGUGCAUCCUCCCUUCCUCCUUUUCUUGUCUUUGUCUUUUCCGUUCCAUGGAAGCGGCAUUUCUGUUAUCUGGUUUGCUGCGUUAGUCGCGUAAUUUCUGGGAGGCAUUCUCGUUCUAGUCCACAUCUGCUGCACUCUCUGGAGCUGUGCACAGAAUGACCUGC